rnacentral:lncRNA from 10 species
GUUAAAAUAGAAUCUACUUUGAAAUGCAAUCACAUUUUAAAGGUGAACGAAAUUAGAUUAAAAAAAAAAGCCUACCUUUUGAGUUACUUUCAGAAGAUAACACAGGUUCUCGAGGCUGGACAGUCCAAGAUCAAGGUGCCUGCAUCUGGCGUCUAGUGUGGACCCUAUUCCUGGUUUGCAGCAUUGUUGGUGCUCUGAGGGUGUCAGCCAGGCCACUCAUGCAGACCAUUGCGGCAGCACUGAAAAUGGAAGAAAGAUGGGAUUCUGCUGUCUUUUGUUUUGGCUGAUGAACAGCACCGAGAUGGAGUGGCUCCAGCAGCCAGAACAAGCCACCAUCUCCCCUGGGCUUUCACAGUAGCCUCCUGACUGGUCUUGUUGCUUCCACACUUACACUUCCUGUUCUCUGCAAGGCAGCCAGAGUGACCUUUCACUAAUUUCAACACAAGUCAUUGGUUGGGAGUAGAGGGCACUCUGCAUGGUCGUCUGGAACCAGGGUUUGCCUACAUGAUGGGUCUCCAUUUGCCACCGGCCUUGGACGUCUCCACUGGAUGCUCUGAUUUCACCUGAUAAGUAAAGGGAGAGAGACAGAGCAUGGAGAAUUACACAGAUCUGCAUGGAACAAUGCUGCUUCUCUGCAUGACUAGAGUUUGUUUUCUCUUUGAAGAUAAUCUCACUAGGAUCAAGACCAUACCUGCUGGAGAGUCAGGACUCUGGAUUUCUGAUUGUUUUCAGGACAGCUACCCUCAUCCUAGGCUGAUCUGAGUUUCUGGGUCUUUCUCUGCCUGUUCUUUCCUCUCCCCUUCCCUUCCCUGCUGCAGAAAGUGUUUUAUGUGGGUGUCAGCAACAUCAGGACCUUUCAAGCCCCUUGCCCCAGUAUCAUCCCUGAAUGCAAAACUCACUCAGAGGCCUGGGGAAGAGAUUCGAACUCUGCUUUUCCUCUGCCACCUCAGGUGUGUUCCAGCUUACAAGACACUUUCACAGAAAAAAAGUUCAGGGAAUGGAAUUGGAAGGCAAAAAUAGCUGCUCGAUGCUGACUUGGCACAUUUGACUUUGACCAAAUCAUCCAGCGCCUCGUCCUUAGUACUCUGGUUUCCACAGAAUAAUCCUCAUGCAGUGAGUAGUGGAAGUCAGGAGGAAUAAACUGCCUAGAUGUCAUGAAGGGAAAACAAUGCACAAUAGACUUGUGCAGAAUCUAUUCCUGUCCGUUUCCCUGUGAAUCCAGAUUGCUGAACACUGGCCGAUGUCUGAGCUGUGGUUUCCCCCUGGAUUUGAAAUUUAGUUACUAGAAGACAAUGCUUUUGAAUGGCUUCUUGGCCAUGACUUUCACAGGGCCUGCUGGCUGUUGCCUGAUGAUUGUCUGAUAGGCCUAGCCCCUUGGCAAAGCAAUGUUUCAUUUGCAAAACUACGCUUGUCCGGUGCCUCCUGGGAACUGAAAGCCUGGCAUCAGCAGAGGAACGCAAAUUGGGCAAAUCACGGAUCUCCCAGGCGUGCGUUGCUUGGGGGCCAUGGUACACAGCACUGCUAAAAGUCUAGGACAAUCUAUGUGUUUUAGGAGCAAACCAGUGCCUUGCACUUCUAAGCUGUAUCCUUUGCUCCCUCCCUGAGAGGCAGCCGUGUGCUCUGGGCUUCCUAGCCUUGUAUGACCUCUGAAAAUAUGACCUGAAGCAGAUGGAUGCACUCACAUAAGAAACAUCACCUGUGGCCUUCAUCGAAAAUGGGCCUGCUGCUUGAAGAAGUUGGGCUCUUGGAGUUCUCUAGCACAGGGGCCAUGAAAAUCAAUGACUUCCUUGUUUGCUGACGGAGCAGAGGUAGAAUCUCUUGGUGUUUCCACGGAGAAAACACUGACCAUGAAGAGCCAAGAAAGAUGACAUGAUGAAGCCAUCAGGGGAAGCACCAAACAUCCUCAACUCUGCUCACCCAUGGUUUUCUCCCGCCCUCCCAGAGCUCCUCCUGCUGGCCUUCAUUGGCAUCACCAGCACUGGAGCUAUUCCAGUGAGGAUUUUUGCUGCGGCACAUCACGGAGUGGCAUGAGAGGUCAGAGAACUCCUAGUAUCCCCCAAAUAUCCAUUCUGUUCUUCUUCCUUAGUGAUGGGCCCCCGACAUGAAACUGGCACUCAGAAUGAAGAAUGCCUUUUCCAGCCUCCCUCGCUGGUGGAGUCUCCGUGUUCCAGCCAAUGAAAGGAGGAAGCCUGGACAGCCUGCAGUUGAGGGGACCUGCACAAGCUCACAGGACUCUUCAUCACCAUGACACCACGCUCACCGCAAAAUAAAAAUGAUCAAACCUGUCAUGAUGUCAGCAGCACCGGUGUUGGUCUUUGUGGGAAAGAAAAACACAGGCCAGGGCUGCAGCACGAUUGUGUCUGCCCAGCUCUUGCAGCCUGGAGAACACCGUUGGAUUCCCUCCCACACAUGCUCCCAGGCUGCCUGCCUGCCUCACUUACCUGCUCAGGGUGGGGCUUGAGGGUGGCCCCUGGGAAGAGUAAGAACUGGCCAAGACUGAGAUGUCCUUCCCUCAUUUAAGGUACCGCCUUUUCCCUUUUCCCGCCAUCCUGGGUGCAUGGAUACUUGGGAUUAGAAACUGGACUGGAAAUGUAAUCUUUCUUCGGUUUGGGGCUGAGAACUGGGGAUUAGUAGGAUUUUGAGUUUAUGGCACAGCCUUUUCUUACACCAUUUCCUAAAAAGCAGUUAAGAUUACACCAGGCACAGUGGCUUACGCCUAUAAUCUCAGCACUUUGGGAGGCUGAGG